rnacentral:pre_miRNA from 14 species
AUUCGGGGUUCCGGGGGGUCAUGCUCCGAUCUCGCUGGGGCCUCCAAAUGAAAGAGUGUAAACGGGGAGCCGCGUCUCUCACUCCAAUCGUGGGAUGGGGUGCCCCCAGGAAUCACGAGUAGCCAU